rnacentral:misc_RNA from 1 species
AAGUCGUAACAAGGUUUCCGUAGGUGAACCUGCGGAAGGAUCAUUAUUGAAUAAAUCUGGCGUUGGUUGUAGCUGGCUCUCCGGAGCAUGUGCUCGCCCGUCACCUUUAUCUUUCCACCUGUGCACACACUGUAGUCCUGGAUACCUCUCGCCGCAAGGCGGAUGCAGGGAUUGCCGCGUCCUCCUCGCGAGGUCGGCUCUCUCUGAAUUUCCAGGGCUACGAAAUUUACACACCCCAAACGUAUGUCAUAGAAUGUCAUCACUAGGCUUCGUGCCUAUAAACCUAUACAACUUUCAGCAACGGAUCUCUUGGCUCUC